rnacentral:rRNA from 1 species
AUAAACGCUAGCGGUGUGCUUUAUGCAUGCAAGUCGCACGAUUUGAGCAAUCGGAUAGUGGCAAACGGGUGAGUAACACGUAAGUAACCUGCCCUCAAGUGGGGAAUAACUCCGAGAAAUCGGGGCUAAUACCGCAUGUGGCCUUCCACGGCAACGUGGCAGAUUAAAGUCGUAAGGCGCUUGGGGAGGGGCUUGCGUCCGAUUAGCUAGUUGGUAGGGUAACGGCCUACCAAGGCAGUGAUCGGUAGCUGGUCUGAGAGGAUGACCAGCCACACUGGGACUGAGACACGGCCCAGACUCCUACGGGAGGCAGCAGCAAGGAAUAUUGCGCAAUGGGCGAAAGCCUGACGCAGCGACACCGCGUGGGGGAUGAAGGACUUCGGUUUGUAAACCCCUUUUCCCAGGGAAGAAUAAUGACGGUACCUGGGGAAUAAGUCACUGCCAACUACGU